rnacentral:pre_miRNA from 1 species
AAACCUCCAUAGGCUGGCUGACCCCCAGGCUGGGCUGAACGAGUAUCUCUUAAAAAGCCUCACCCCAAAGCAUAACUAAGAGC